rnacentral:rRNA from 1 species
GACGAACGCUGGCGGCGUGCUUAACACAUGCAAGUCGAGCGGAAAGGCCCUUCGGGGUACUCGAGCGGCGAACGGGUGAGUAACACGUGAGUAACCUGCCCCAGACUUUGGGAUAACCCUCGGAGACGGGGGCUAAUACCGGAUACGACACAGCUUCGCAUGGGGUCUGUGUGGAAAGUUUUUCGGUUUGGGAUGGGCUCGCGGCCUAUCAGCUUGUUGGUGGGGUGAUGGCCUACCAAGGCGACGACGGGUAGCCGGCCUGAGAGGGCGACCGGCCACACUGGGACUGAGACACGGCCCAGACUCCUACGGGAGGCAGCAGUGGGGAAUAUUGCACAAUGGGCGGAAGCCUGAUGCAGCGACGCCGCGUGAGGGAUGACGGCCUUCGGGUUGUAAACCUCUUUCAGCAGGGACGAAGCGUAAGUGACGGUACCUGCAGAAGAAGCGCCGGCCAACUACGUG